rnacentral:rRNA from 1 species
UAGGGAAUCUUCGGCAAUGGGGGCAACCCUGACCGAGCAACGCCGCGUGAGUGAAGAAGGUUUUCGGAUCGUAAAGCUCUGUUGUAAGAGAAGAACGUGUGUGAGAGUGGAAAGUUCACACAGUGACGGUAACUUACCAGAAAGGGACGGCUAACUACGUGUCAGCAGCCGCGGUAAUACGUAGGUCCCGAGCGUUGUCCGGAUUUAUUGGGCGUAAAGCGAGCGCAGGCGGUUUAAGAAGUCUGAAGUUAAAGGCAGUGGCUUAACCAUUGUUCGCUUUGGAAACUGUUAAACUUGAGUGCAGAAGGGGAGAGUGGAAGUCCAUGUGUAGCGGUGAAAUGCGUAGAUAAAUUGAGGAACACCGGUGGCGAAAGCGGCUCUCUGGUCUGGAACUGACGCUGAGGCUCGAAAGCGUGGGGAGCAAACAGG